CUUCCAUGUCUAUGACUAUAGGUAUAUGUGACGGCUGUUAGCUUCUGGCCACUCAGACGAUAUCGUGAUCAACUUCUCACAGAGUGGUUUUGAAGGCGGCUUAAAACCUUCCACUUCAGGCUGAUUAUAAAGAGCGGGCCAUAUUAGAUACAGGAAGUGUGCACUAUAGGUUAUCGAGAGUAUGACAGAGCACAGAAGCCAUAAAGUUUCAAAGAAGGCUAAAUUCGACCCAAUGGAAAACAUGCACUUAUGGGUGAUGUGGCGGACAGCCGUCAAUGAAAAGAUUAUUCGACAAACACGUAAACCUAAACACACGGCUGUGGGGCAGGACUACUUCAGCAAAGUGUUUACUACGGUGCCUUUAGCCAAGUACGUCCGUCUCAAUUCCUCAGCUCAGGGAAGUGACCCGUAUACGGGGCCUCUCCGCCAGCGGCACUGGUACAAUGACGACGGCUUUCAGACUCGUCAGCUUGUCUACUUCGGCCUUCCCAGGCCACAGUUAGUUCAGCCGGUAAAGCUGCCACCAGUGGAUUAUUAACUCUGCAUGUCAUGCUGCACUACGCCAUGAUACUGUUUCCAGGACGUAUGAAAAAUCGAACAGUCAACAGUCCUAUCUGAAAGACUGAACUGUAACGUGACGAAAAUGUAAAACCAAGCCGGCAACAUUUCGUCUACGGGAGAGGGAUAGAGCCAUAUAACUGAAAGAAGAAACAAAGUGAACCAUAACAUAGUCCGAUUGAGUUAAUACUAUUUUCUUCCUGAUUUUAUACAACUUUUUACAGUUUCUUUUCGCUCUGUUAUAGCGGUCAGCUGAUACCACCUGUGGGCAAAGUUCUCUUGACAUAGGAUAUUGUUACAAUUGAAGAACAUUCUUACAAAUGCUGCAGAAUGAUCAUUCAACUGCAAGUAAAAUGUAAUGAAUCGGUCAUGGCUGGGAGCAAUGUAAAUAACACAGUUUUGGAAACAUUUAGUACAUUGGUUUUGUGUGCCUAUGGAUGUGAAUGUUUUAUUCCUUUGCAAUUUAUUGCACACCUGUAGCUAUCAGGUAAACAUGUACAACGCAGCGCGAUUGCGCCAUUCCGAUUAGAAAUUGUUAGAAGAUGACACCGGAUGACACGGAAGUCUUUGUACGUUUUGUUUUAAAAUAUUCCACUUUAUAUUCCACUAUA